AUGAACAUCAAGCAGAGCGGAGAGCGCUCCAAAUGCAGGAAGCAGACCAUAGCGCAGGGGAUUCUGGAACGAAGUUGCGAUCAUGUCAUAUUCGUGUCAUUUCCUUUGGUGGGUCUUGGUGGAGCGCCACCGUAGCUGCUUAGCGCCCAGUAGAGCAGCGGAUGAUGGGAGCUCCAACACGGCAUGAUCUAAAAACCCACUGGCGCUUCAGCGUGCCUCAGCUGGCUUAUAUAACCCAGCGUGGAUAUGCAAACCGCCUGGCUGCUGGGGGGAGCGGAGCGCGCACGCACACACACACACACGCCCACACACACACGACUCAUCAAUGUUUGAGUGUUUAGUAGAAUAAA